GAGUCAUAGUGAAGAAAGGAAAGAAAAGCGGAAUGUUUUUUCUAUUACAAUCAUUACAGAGGUCAGACGCAACCAAGACAGACAGAUGAACAACAAAAACACUGGUUAAGUGAUUCAGAAGGGUAGGUUUUCUGGAAUUAGCCAGAAACAUUUCAAGGACUCUGAAGAAAAUGUGGAAAUGAAUUGUCAUUCCAAUUUAUCUGAGCAUAUGUGCCUUUCGACUCCAAUGCCUGAAGAAGGAUUCAUUUUUAAAUGAUUUGAUGGAAAUGUGGAACGUACCCAGAGAAGGGCAACGAAACUGAACUGCAAAUGAAACGCCCCACAACAGAAGCCAUUCGGUUUCUGGUACUGAUUACCAGGUUGGAGUCUCAUCUGAGAAGGUGGAGCGAUCGCAAGUCUGCACGUCACUGCGGUGAUCCAGUGGGAGGAGGCAGCCCACCCGGGCCCAUCAGCCGUCGAUCUGGAUUUCCUCCUGUGCGCAGGCGAUUGGCCACCCCGUGCAUGGUUCACUUGGGUGUGACUGCGAGCCCUGCUUAGUUCUGUGAAAGUCACAGAGAGCCUACGUGCAGCAAAAGGUAACCCGAUAGCGCAGAGAAGACGCAGGAGUUAUGACCACCAAACAAAAAAGAACCGUACCGGGUCUGUCUGGGAUGGAGUCCCUUCUCAAAAAUAAAACAUUAGGUGAUAUACAAAGUAGUGGUUGUCUCUUGCUGGAGGAUUAAAGUGUCUGAAAACAGCAAGUUUACAAUUGGAAAGUGUACUUGCAAACCUAGAUCUGGUGAUAGAAAUGACAUUAUUGAUUAUAUAGUGUCAUUUCCUGAUAACUUGGUUCUCUGUUAGUCUUUUGUUAAUCUUUUGAGUAUAUUGCCUAGGAUACAGUAAUCUUCUCAAUAGGUUCCUAUCCCUGCUUCUUUUCCCUCCUUUGGACAGUUGAUGAUCCACAACUGACAGCUUUUUCCAGAAACAUUUUGCAGCUGUAUUUCUCACAGUGCAAAGUAGGACCUUCUUGAGAGCACUUUAUAAGAGAGUUUACCUCAGGAACACAGUUUCUUAUCCGCUUUUCCCUUGAAGAAUCACAGAGUAGCUGAGGCUGGCUGGGCCCUCUGGGACGCUUGGCCCAACCUCUUCUCCAGCAGAGCCAUCCAGAGCAGGGUGCCCAGAGCCAGGUCUGGGUGGCUUUUUGACAUCUCCAAGGACGAGAAUCCACAGCCUCUAUGGGCAGCCUGUGCCAGUGCUCCGGCACCCACACAGUACCGGAGUGCUUCCUGGUGUUCAGAGGGAACCUUCUGCACUCCAGUUUGUGCCCUUUGCCUCUUGACCUGGCGCUGGCACCACUGAAAAGAGGCAGACCCUAUCCUCCAUGCACCCACCCCUCAGUUAUUUGUAUACAUUGAUGAGAUUCCUCUGAGCCUGUCCAUGACUGGGAUAAAGCAGUGAAGAAGGGCUGAAGAAGGCCCAGCUGCCUAGUCAGCGACUGAGCUGACUUAUCUAUUCAGCAAAAACCUCCGAUGCUGUUUCUGCUACUUUCUAAUGAUUACAACAUUUUUUGAGGCAUGCUUUUUGUCAGCCAAAUGUGUAAAUGUUACAAUUAAUGUCAGUGUAGAUCUUGGAUUUUUGCUGAGGCUUGGACACUGUCCCAUGCAGAGCUUAUCUUGCCUGGGAGGUUUUCAAGAGAUGCUACAAAAAACACCCCCAAAAAGUCAGCGAAUAUUUACUUAGAUAUAUUGGAUCAUAGUCCAGUAUAUUCCUUUAUGCCUUGAGCUAUUUUUUCAAAAUCCAGACUGCACAGUUGUAUCUUAGGCUCGAGUACAGUCCUGAAAAGCAGCCUGUACGUUGCUGAUAGGUUCUGAUGCGUAUUGUGUAUCUUCCCUGAAAUGAACCCCUAUCUCCCGUUUGCAGAGCUUAUGCAGGGGCUGAGAAAUACAGUUUGCUUCCACACUGACUGCUCUACCUCUCAGAAAACAUUUGGAGGGAGGAGUAUACGUUGCUCACAGGAGCUGUGCUCUCCAGGGUGGGCUGUACCAGCACGCUGCCUGCUUCUCACCUCCCCCACACAGAAGUCAGUUGGAAAAUUUGGGAUUCUGGUGUUCAUGCAGAGUUACGCAAGUCACAGUCAAGCUGUUUAAAUCUCCGUAUGCAGCCCCAGAGGAACAUGACAGUGUUUGGUGCUGAUAAGAUAUGAGUCUGCACUUCUGAGUGCUUGCUCACGAGCAUUCCUACCGUGUCAGAGCAAGUUCUUGCUGAAGAAAAUGCGAAUACCUUACACUCUAUGACAAUGUUGCAAAUCAGAAAUAGUUGCAGUUACCUCACGCUAGUUCCCUCUGAGGCAGAACAAAUCCUAAGGUUCCAGCUGAAUGCUUAUGAAUCACUACCUUGGGGAAAAAAAAAUGAUACCACCUGUCAAAUUUCAUCUAAACUCUCAGAAAAUGGGGAAAAUGUGCUGAAUGAGGCAGUUAGUGAUGGUGUUGUACAGGGAUUAUUACUACAUGACACUGUGAGUUAUGAUAUACUUACUGCGCGUUCCUUUCUAGCAGAGAAACAGAGCAGAAACUGCACAGCUGAUGGAGUGUGAGGAGAAGAAAUCUGAACAUCAUUGUCUAAGUAAGUAAAACAUGUAAUUUUUUUCAGGCAAAGUAGAAAUGAACACAACGCAUAUAUUUUCUAUGAACUUAAAAAGUACGUGCAGAAGUUGCAUGUAGAUAUGCAGGGGUUAAAUAGGGAGAAAUGAACGAAUGGUCCAGGGAUGUUUUUAAAAAUGCUUCUGGAACAAAGUAAUAAAUGGAAUAGCAGCAUUCGGGAUGGCAGAAGUAGUGCCACUCCAGGUAAGAACAUAGGCUUUGGGACUGGAGUUUAUAGUACAGGAGACUGUUUAUGCAAGACUACCCAGCUCUGGGGCUGUGUGCUAAAUACUGUGAAGAAAGAGAUGGAAUAUAGUAUACACAGAGUCCCUCCUCUGGUAAGACAUUUAACACAUCAUCAGGCAGAUGAGUUGUCCGACUGAAAUCUGGAUGAGCAAGCCUUUAAAAAUCUAUUGGACAUUUACACUGCUAAGUUACAUAUCAAGAAAUAUGAUUCUAUUAAAUAUAAUCCCAUGAAAUACCAGGGAUUUUUGUUCUCCACCAUUUUCAUUUGUGUUAGUUUAGUACUGCUUGGUGGGACAAAUGCUCAGUAAUAAUAACAACCCAUUUUCCUGUCUUUGAGUAACUACUUUUUUUUUCCCCCUGCAGAUCUUUAUAUAAGGCUUCUAGACCUAACUGUCAAAGUUCAUUCAGCUGAGCUAAAAUACAAAACAAGGUAUAAAUAAAACACAGUUUAUGGUUGCAGCCAUUUUUUCUUACCACUUUGCCUGGGAGAGGUCAUGUGUCAUAACUGUGUUUAUUGGUGUUAGUGGCUGUCUUUCUACCAACAAGAAAUGUGCAACUGCCUUUAUGUUGCUGGCAGUUGUAUUGGUAAGGGCACGAUGAGUAAGCUUCACAUGUUUCUAUUAAUACAAAGUUGCUUGUCACUGAUAGCAGUGCUUGCUGUUGCAUAAAGUAAGAAACACUGUCAGAUAACCACUUCUAAAUUGCUAGAAGCUUUUCAAAUGAGCGCUGUGCCAUAAGCUUUGUUCUAAAAGUUCUCCCUUGUACAGUGUCACAGAAGCCUUGUUUCUGUCCGGACGUGAGCAGCCUGUUUGUUUUUUCGUUAUUUGCCAAUUGCAGUGGAAAUGAUGCAGCACAAAAAAACUGCUGACUGAAGAGUCUGUUGUAUUUUCUAGGUACUUAGUGGCUUUGAAAUAAAACUAGAGAUUAUCGCAAGUGCUGCAGUUGUUCAAAUUCAGCUCCUGCCAAGUUUUCACACCACCGAUGCUUCUAAGAACAGAGAAACCUACCUUAGAAGCUUCUUCCCAAUUUGUAUCUUGCUAUUUUCAGUAUUAAAUUUAGAACAGUGUCUAAAUGAAA